GUCCGGACCAGGCGAGGAUUUUCACGAAAACAUUCACCGCAGACUGCGUAGCAGAGCCAGCGACGAGGCUGCUGGGACGAACCGGACCCGACGCAAUGGACCCCACGCCACGACAGCCGCGUCGACGGCGUUUUUAAAGUUAGAUAAGCGGUGUUUUGGCUUAGAUAUUGCAAAGAAAAUAUAUUACGAGCGUUAAACGCGAGUAACGGCAAUGACUGUGGCAGCAGUGGUUGGAUAGAAAGGCAGAGAGAGAGAGAGAGAGAGAGAGAGAGAGAGGGAGAGAGAGAGAGAGAGAGAGAGAGAGGCCGAAGUGGACUCCCUCCCCCGGUAGAACCGUUCCGUGCGAUGGAGGCUGACGGGACCUUUGCUACAAGCCCUAGGCCCGUAAUGUCACCCUGGUACCGUCGAAAACUCGCCGGAGCACGCAGUUAAAAUCCGAGAGGACGGACGCAGCUCACCCUUUUCUUUGACAACUUCUCAGUUAGCUCGUAUCCACAACAGAAGUUAGCGGGUCGACGUUAGCCGCGCGGAGGAGAGCGCUCGCGCACGAUGACCAUCAUAGAUGUCACUUAACGCGGGGUCAUUCGCCGCCGCAGGUAACCCCGUGCAGGUGAACAACCCGCCGUAGCGCCGCCGUGGACUUCGGUUCAGGAAAGUUGCCUCGUAAUAAACGCUCGGCAAGUUGACCUCAACUAAUCUGCCUGCGACGACUAAGAGAAGUUCUGCGUGUAAAGAAAAGACUUUUUUUUUAUUAUUUUGUGUAUUUUUUUUAAGUCAACCAUGUCAUUCAAGGAAAACCCAUGUCGGAAAUUUCAAGCCAACAUUUUCAACAAAAGCAAAUGCCAGAACUGCUUUAAACCAAGGGAAUCACAUUUGCUGAACGAGGAAGACUUAAAUCAGGCUAAACCUAUUUAUGGAGGCUGGUUGCUUCUGGCACCAGAGGGAACCAAUUUUGACAAUCCUCUACACAGAUCACGGAAGUGGCAGCGGAGGUUCUUUGUCCUUUAUGAGCAUGGCUUGCUUCGCUAUGCUCUGGACGAAAUGUCCAGCACUCUACCCCAGGGUACAAUCAAUAUGAACCAAUGCUCCGACGUCAUCGAUGGAGAGUCCAGGACAGGUCAGAAGAACUCCCUGUGUAUCCUGACACCUGAGAAUGAGCACUUCAUACGGGCUGAAUGCAAAGAAAUCAUCAACGGGUGGCAGGAAGCUCUGACAGUGUAUCCAAGGACAAACAAACAGAACCAGAAGAAGAAACGCAAGGUUGAUCCUCCCACUCACCAGGGUGGAGUAACUCAAAGCCUGUGUUUUUCUACUGGAGACAUGAAUGGACACCGAUCUCUCUGUGACCUUACCUCCCAUUAUAUCCUUUCCUCUGUCAAUCGUCUCCUUGCAACCAAAACCCUUUCCCAGGAGCCUGGUCCUGCCAAGGUGACUGUGACCAGCAGCAGUGGAGGCAGCAUCCCGUGCCUGUCUAGCAGUAUUGCCAGUGCUGAGCGCGUCCCAAUGAGCCGUGCAACUCUAUGGCAGGAGGAGAGCCGCUGGAGCAGGGCCACCAUACCCUACAGCCGCAGUGCCUCCUGUAUCAGCCAGCUGGGUCAGAGCCAGCCAGACUCCAGUAUUACUACUCAAGAUGACUGUGGCACCGUGACCAUUGGACGCAAGGUACGAGUGGAAAGUGGUUACUUUUCCCUGGAGAAGACAAAGUCAGAACCUUCUCCACAGUCUGCACACCAAUCCCAGCCCCUCCAACCACCCCAGCAUCUGCCCCUGUCCUCUUCAGUGUCUUCUUCCUCAUUAGGAGCUCCUAAUUCCAGGUACAACUCUGAGUCAGAACCCCAAACUUCCCCUUGUCAACCCUCCCAAGAUCCUCUCCGUUCUCCAGGUGCACUUGUUUCCCCCAGCUACUCCACCAUCAGCUCUUCACAGAGCUCACUGGAGUCUGAACCUAGCAGCACUACGCCAACCUGGGAAGGACACAGUGGUAGUGGAGGCAGUAUUAGUGGAGGAGGCAGAGUGGGCCGUUCUGGCCGGGAAUAUGCGGCACUGUCGGAUGUGCCCCGGGCUCGCAGACUGAAUUACCGAGAAGCAUUCCGCUCAGAGAAAAAGCGGCAAGAGUUGAGGGCACGGACACGGAGUCCUGGCAGAGAAGAGGUGGCUCGGCUGUUUGGGGAGGAGCGCAGGCGUUCUCAAAUCAUCAGUCGAUUCGAGGAUGGUCAACCCGUAGAUCGUAUGGACACGAACAACACCAGUGAGCCCUCCGCUACCACAUUGCUAAUCCAAAGACAGGGCCGCAGCGAAAGACGCUAUCUAGCCAACAAACAUGAGAUGUCACUGGAUGCAGGGAAGGACCGUUCAGCGCCUGAUGUAUCCAGUUCCACUUUUGCCAACUUAAGAAGAGCCAAGUCACUGGAUCGGAGAGUCACAGAAUCCUCAAUGACUCCAGAUCUGCUGAACUUUAAAAAGGGAUGGAUGACCAAGCUGUAUGAAGAUGGAGUGUGGAAGAAACACUGGUUUGUUUUGACUGACCAGAGUCUGAAGUACUAUAAGGACUCAAUAGCUGAGGAGGCUUCAGAACUGGAUGGUGAGAUUGACCUUUCCACAUGUUAUGAUGUCAAAGAGUUUCCAGUCCAGAGAAAUUAUGGCUUUCAGAUUCUGUGUAAAGAGGGAGCAUGCACUUUGUCAGCCAUGACCUCUGGAAUCCGUCGCAACUGGAUUCAGGCCAUUAUGAAGAAUGUGCGACCAACCAUUGCCCCAGAUGUCACCCGGAAAAACAUCUCUCUGAAACUAUCCGUUCUCAAGCCCAGAUCCCUCCCUGAUGAGAAUCUGAAAGCCCAGGUAAUGUUGGAACAAUGUAGACAGGCCAUACCCGAGCCAAGUAUUGGCAAUGAGCUCCCCAAGCCUGAUGUCCACAGCCAGCCAGCUGGCACCAAUGCCUCUACCCCUCCGUCUGAGCCCCGUAAAAGCAGAGUGCGCGAGCGCAGAAGGGAGGGGCGCUCAAAGACUUAUGACUGGUCUGAGUUCAAAAUGGAACAGUCGGGAAAGCCUGUAAAGGAACGAGCAGACACUGUUGACCUUAGCUCGUCCUUCUCCACAACCUCCUCGUAUUGCUCACCCUCCUCCUCACCUUCAUCGUUAGCCUCCUCUCCUGUCUCCAGCUCCUCUCUACAAACAUCCUCGGUGUCAUGUGCCAAUCCAUCUACGGAAGUAGAAAAGGAAAAUGUUAGGAGAGCUGUCCCUCUCCAGAGAGCAUCAGCUGUAUCCCACAUGCCAAAUGCUGUUACCAUAACUUCAGGACUUAAUGCUACACCUCUGGUACAGCCGUCAUUCCCUGAUAGUCAAGAACAAGGCAAGAUGGAAGUAGACCACCCUGCAUCCAUGCACACUGAUGGUGAAGACAAGGACAACAGAACCUCAGAGGUCCAGGAGGAAAUCGAGCAGCGAUGGCAUCAGGUGGAAACAAUACCACUAAGAGAGGAGAAGCAAGUGCCCAUUACUACAGCCUUAGGAAACUCUGACAGAUUGCCUUCUGGUGAACUCGCUGCACUACUAGACAAAGAGUUGGGACAGAAGCAGAAGGAGCUUGACCAACUACAGAAGGAGAACAACAUUUUGAAAGAGAAGCUGGAAGACGCUCUAGGGAGAGAACACAGUGCCAGAGAGGGCUAUAUACUGCAGAGUGCAACAUCCCCUUCCUCCUCACCGCACAAAGUGCCAUUGCCACGCUUGCACAAGCUUAAUCAAGAUUUGCAGGGUGAAUUGGAAUCCCAAAAACGCAAGCAGGACCUUGCUCAGCAACAGAUUCGGUCACUUAAGAGAAGCUACACUGAAGCACAGGAUGUCGUAGACCGGCAUGAGGCUGACAUUCAGGCUCUGCAGGCUAAACUAACAUCUGCAAUGGCUGAAAUCUUAGCUAGUGAGCAGGCUGUGGCGCGAAUGCGCAAUGAGCUCAAGCUAGAGCAGGAGCGUUCAAGGGAGCAAGAUGAUGAACAUGGACAUAAGGAGGCCACUCUUCGAGCCCAGCUGAAAGACAGUGAAGGGAGACUCCGUGAAGUUGAGGCAAGCCUUUUAGAGAGGAACCAAGCCCUCAGACACCUAGAGCACCAGCAGGCCUUGCAACGAGACAAUGUGAGAGAGAUCCAGCGAUUGCAGGAGAGGCUGCAAGAGGUGACCGCUCGACUUGAUGCUACUGAAGAGGGCCAGGCUCUGAAGGAGGAACGCUUGAGAAGGGAGCAGCAUAGCAUGCAAGAGAGUCACGAAAGGGAAAGGCAGAAUCUGUGUAGAAGAUUGGCAGAGGCUGAAGCUGUACGGAAAGAGAUGGACGACAGACUGCUGGAAGCUGAGCAGCAGAUAGAGGCCCUGUUAAGAGGGAGGCAGACCUUGGGAGGAAAAGAAUGUAAGGAGGAAAUGCUGAAGUUACAAGAGGAGUUGGCCCAAAAAACUGAUUUAGUUGAUUCACUGAGGGAGAGUGUGCGUAGACUAGAGGAAGAGAAAGACCAUCUCACUUGCCGCUGUCAGGAGCUUCUUAACCAGAUUGCAGAAGCAGAUCGUGAGGUGAAUAAGCUCCGCAGUCGUCUAGAAACUGAAGAGACUGAUUACUACAAACUGGAGCAGUCAUAUGAGAGAGCUACCCAAGAAUUUCAAAAAAUGAGCCAGUUCCUUAGAGAAAAGGAGGAGGAGAUUAGGCAGACUAAGGAGAUGUAUGAGAGGUUGGUGGAACACAAGGAAAAAGACCUAAAAGAGGCACUUAUUAAAAUGACAGCACUUGGGAACAGCUUGGAGGAAACUGAACAGAAAUUGCAAGCUAAGGAGGAACUCCUGUGCCAAAUGAGCCAGAGCCUCUUGGAUAAGGUUGAGUCUUGUACGGCUGAAAAGGAUUUACAGGCUAAGCUUGUGGUUGCAGAGGUCCGUAUUGCAGAGUUAGAGCAGCAUCUUAGUGCCUUGCAGCUGGGUUAUGCAGACCUAGGUAUGGACAAGCCACAAUCCCCAGUGCAAGACAUCGAGGAUAAAACAUCACAGUCCUUAGCCUGUGACUUGGCAACCAAGACAGAGAACUCCCAAGAUGAUAAGGAAUCUCAUGCUAAAAGACCAAGGAUACGUUUUUCCAGUAUUCAGUGCCAAAAAUACAGCUUAGAGGGUCUGGACAGUGCCAACGCAAACAACACUUUUGUUGUAACAGGAGAAAAGGGUGACCAAGAAAAAAAGGAAUUCAUUCACCUAACUGAAGGAAAUCACUCUUCUGAAGUCACAUUUUCCCAAACUAGUGACCCAGAGAAGUUCAUCUCCAUUAUACAUGCCCUAGAGACUAAACUGUUUGCCACAGAAGAAAAACUAAAAAACCUUACUCAAAAUCUAGAAGAUCAGCGAUUCCCACAAACAGAAGACGUGUCCAAGAUUGAGCUAAAGUUGUCGAUAAAGAAACCUCACACAGACAAAGAUGCUAGUUGUGAAAGUUCUGCCAGUAAGUAUUAUACCAAGGCCCUGGUGUUUGUGGAAAAUAGUCGUGAGAAAGUCAGGGCUAUUCUCAGUGGCUCUCAAGACACUACUGGUGCACAGCUUCAUUCACUGUCGGAGAUAGAGAGCGAUUUGUUCAAUGCGUCACUACACAUCCAACAGGGACAGAAGUCACUGGAGCUGCGUUCAGCAGCUACUCAUCAGGAAGAAACACCGGACAAUCUGGACCAAGAAGCUUUGUACCUCUUUGCUAAAACCUUGUCUUUAGAGGCCGUAGUUCUGAAUAAGAUGGCUUUGCUUAUACAGACCUCAAAGCCUGAUCUCCUACAAGCUCUUGGGGAGAUAUGGGAUGACAUAGAAAAUAUUAAAAGGAGUGACAAGGAUUGUUUGGCUAUUGUCUACGCUGAUGUCUUGACCAGAAAAUUGAUGUUGGAGUGUGCUUUUUGGAAAGACCUGGAGACAGCGGAGACAAAUGUUGCAAAUACCAAAGAUGGCGGCUUGUCUGCUGAUGUAGAUGUAGCUGCCUCAGACAUCUUCAAUACCUUCAUUAAAGCAGAGCUGGUGUACUCUGUUGAAAACCUCAAACAAAGCUAUGAAGAAAAAUUCAAAAUGCUGAAGAAGGAGUUAGACGAAGCUCACGGUAACUUGUUUCAAAGGGAAAUGGCCCUGAAAGCAAUUAUUGAGGCUUCUAAAAGGCCAGACUUGAAAAAUGUAAUAAAAGAAGUCAAAAAGAACUUUGGGUAUAGUAAACAAAAAUUAGCUGACAUUCGUCCCCCUGAGCUUGCUCCCUACAUGGAGCAGAUUGAGUUGGAAGCAGCUCGAGACUUGGCUGAGGAAAUUGUAGACAGACACUUGACUGAAGAAAUUCCCUUCUGUGGUGUCGGCUCUAUUCAGUCGCUACAAAAUGCUCAUGACAACUUGGCUAAUGAGCUGCAAAGACAAGCAGACAUCCUCCAUAAGUAUGCUCAAGAGAUAGAAAGUGGCGUGAGUCACCCUGGACUGGCUAAAAUGAUCCAUGCUGUUCUGGGCCAACAAACUUCACGUAAUUUCACAAGUGCCUCGAUCUGCAUGCGUGAAGCCCUUAUCCAGGCUCAAGUGGCCUAUGUGGCAUGCAGAUUCCGUGCCAUGCAUGAACAAGACCUGGUCUGGUGUAAACAAACUGGUCAAAACAUGGAUGCCCUCGUGCAGCAGCAUUCGUACAAUGUCAGUGCAAUCCAAGAGAAAUUCGAAGCGUCCAUACGGGAAGAGCGCCUGAACUUUACACGAACAGUUGCCAGUCUCCAGACAGAAAAUGAGACGCUGAAGACGGAAAUCAGCAAACGUGUGUCUCAGCUCUCGCGGCAGCAGGAGCACCUCUCCCUGCUGGAGGAACGGUACCAGAAAACCACAGAGGAGAUGAAGCAGAAGCACAUGGAGGAGCUGAGCCAGGCCGAGCAAAGUCGUGCCUCAACAGAGCUCGUUCUCAUGGAGACCACGGCUGACAGUCAACGUAAGUUAGAGGUGCUGCUGGUGGACAUGGAUACUAUGGAGGAGCGACACGAGAGUCACGUAAGGAAACUGGAGGAGCAGUUCGAACACCGAAUCCGUGAGCUCCAACAAAUCCACAAAGAGGAGCUUGAAAAGUUGCAUUCUCAGUACAUGGAAAACAUUCAGCACGUCAAGGAGAGCAGACGGGCAAAAGAAGCCCCAGAGGUUUCUCACAUACCAACCAGUGAAGAGACCGUGUUACCAAUGGAAGAGGAAGAGCAGGGAAAGUGGGAGGAAGCACAAAAUAUGUCCGAGUUGGAUUCCAUGGUAGUUCUGAAAGACCGCAUCCAGGAGCUGGAAACCCAGAUGAACACCAUGAGAGACGAACUGGAGAACAAGCACCUGGAGGGAGAUGUGGUCAGCCUGAGAGAGAAAUACCAGAGAGACUUUGAAAGUCUUAAGGCCACGUGUGAACGUGGCUUUGCCGCUAUGGAAGAAACGCACCAGAAGGUGAUCGAGGACCUCCAUAGGCAGCAUCAGAGAGAGAUUUCUAAACUUAUGGAGGAGCGAGAGAGGCUCUUGGCUGAGGAGACCGCUGCCACAAUCGCUGCUAUAGAAGCUAUGAAGAAUGCGCACAAGGAGGAACUGGAGAAGACUCAACGCUCACAACUGAGCGGACUGAACUCUGACAUUGACGAGCUUCGUUUACAAUAUGAGGAGGAGCUGCAGUCCAUCCAGAGAGAACUGGAGGUGCUGUCAGAGCAGUACUCUCAGAAAUGCUUGGAGAAUGCUCACCUGGCUCAGGCACUGGAGGCUGAGAGGCAGGCCCUCAGGCAGUGUCAGCGAGAGAACCAGGAGUUAAAUGCUCACAACCAGGAACUAAAUAACCGACUGAGUGCAGAGAUUACUCGAAUGCGCUCCUGUUUUAGCGGAGAAACAGCGAUGUCACCACUUACCCAGGGAAAAGAUGUGUAUGAGCUGGAGGUGUUGCUUCGAAUCAAAGAGUCAGAGAUCCAGUACCUUAAACAGGAAAUCCACUCUUUGAAAGAUGAACUGCAGUCGGCUUUAAGGGACAAGAAAUAUGCCACAGACAAGUAUAAGGACAUUUAUACAGAGCUCAGCAUAGUGAAAGCAAAGGCUGACUGUGACAUCAGCAAGCUGAGGGAGAAGCUGCUCAUAGCCACAGAAGCUUUAGGUGAGAGGACUGUUGAUGGAUCAGCCUCAUCUGGAUACGAUAUCAUGAAGUCGAAAAGUAACCCAGACUUCAUGAAAAAAGAGCAGUUCACAACUUCCAAGCAGUUGAGAGGCAUACGGUCAAAGUCGGUCACUGAACAGGUCUCAUGGGACAGCUGACACUCCCAUUGUGGGGUGAUUCCCCCUUCAACCCCCGCCCCAAGAUGUUGUGUAGAGCCUCAAGGAAGGACUAACCGUGCAAGAGCGCAUGAAGCUUUUUGAGGCAAAAGAUUCCAAAAAGAUUUAAACAUCAAGAUUUUUUUUGUUUCUUUUCAUCUUUGGGUUUCGGGCUGAUUUGCCCUGACUGUGCCAGGAUCAGCUGAUGACUUACUUUUUAAAUGGAGGGAUAAUAUUGAUGGAUUGACCUGCUGGUACUAAGCCUCUGUUAGGUUUAAGCCCAUUUGAUUAUCUUUUGUAUUUAAUAGGAAAAGCUUGUAUUGAAUCAGUCUUGUGUAAGGUUUCUUUAAUCAUAAAUAUUAUAGCUGUGUAACCUGUGUUGGAGACGUGUCCAAUAAGCUGUGAGAGUGAUUUUUAUUGAUGCAGAAUGCCAAACCAGACAGCAAUAUACAGUAUGGAUAAUAUAUAUUUCCCAGUAUGAAUUACACAUCUGCUGUAUGUUAUUAUUGUUACAGGUUCUAUAACAAAUAAUUUUGAUGUGCUUUUUGUUGCACCAGUUCUGUUGUACAUAACUACUGGAUGUAUGUAAGACUAUGGUUUGCUAUUGAUUAGUGGGGCAUCUGCUGUACUAUAAUUAUGGUUGGUAGUGGAAAAAUGUGAUGCUUAAAUUUACUCAUGUAUGAGAGUUUUAUAAAAGCUGAGAGUCUGUGUGUGGGAGGGAGCAAGCUUGGUGUGACUGCACUGCACUUAUUACUUGACUACUUGAGGAAGUGUUUUUAAUUUGUCUCUAAUUGGUGACGUGACUUAAAGUCAACUAUUGCAGUGCAACCAAACUUCCUGACUAACAGUCGUGACUGGAGUUAUUUUUCAAGAAUUGUUUGCCCAGUUUUAGCGUUGCUGUGAGAAAAGUGUCUCAUAAAAACUCAGACUAUUUGGGAUUUUGCAUGACUGUACAUUACAAUUUCAAUUAUCCUGUUGCCUCAUUUUCCUACUUUAUGCUUUGGUGUUGAACCCCUAACACUAAUAAGCUUUGCUUUGCAAGUCCUACUGUUAAAGGUGUUGACAUUGAAAUGUUUUACUGUAAGCAGCAGUUCUGAAGCACUUGGCCCAGUUCAUGACCCCCUCAUUGAAAUCUAGUUGUGCCUCAACUGUUGUUUAGUCUAUAAACAUCUAUGAAACCUGUGCAGCUAAGGAUACACACUGUAUAGUAUUCAGAUCACGCCUUGUGUAUAUAUAUACAUAUAUAAAAAUAUAUGCCACAUGGAAUACUUCUGUGUUUUGUUCUGAACUUGUACUUUGCUCACUAGCUCUAUAUGAAAUAUACAUGAAUAUUUUUUAUUUUCGUUUGAAUGUAUAACAUCAAAUAAAUGAAGUGUUUGGAAAUAGUAUAA